UUGACCUCGAAUCAGGUAGGAAUACCCGCUGAACUUAAGCAUAUCAAUAAGCGGAGGAAAAGAAACCAACCGGGAUUACCUCAGUAACGGCGAGUGAAGCGGUAACAGCUCAAAUUUGAAAUCUGGCUCCUCUGGAGUCCGAGUUGUAAUUUGUAGAAGAUGCUUUGGGUUGUGGGUUCGGCCUAAGUUCCUUGGAAUAGGACGUCACAGAGGGUGAGAAUCCCGUAUGUGGCCGAGGCCCGCGCCUAUGUAAAGCUCUUUCAACGAGUCGAGUUGUUUGGGAAUGCAGCUCAAAAUGGGUGGUAAAUUUCAUCUAAAGCUAAAUAUGGGCCAGAGACCGAUAGCGCACAAGUAGAGUGAUCGAAAGAUGAAAAGCACUUUGGAAAGAGAGUUAAACAGUACGUGAAAUUGUUGAAAGGGAAGCGCUUGCACCCAGACUUGGGCGCUGCCGAUCACCUUGAGUUCUCCUCGAGUGCACUCGACAGCGCACAGGCCAGCAUCGGUUCGGGUGGCUGGAUAAAGGCCGUAGGAACGUAGCUCUCUUCGGGGAGUGUUAUAGCCUACGGUGCCAUGCAGCCCAGCCGGACCGAGGACCGCGCCUUCGGGCUAGGAUGCUGGCGUAAUGGGUGUAAGCGACCCGUCUUGAAACACGGACCAAGGAGUCUAACAUCUAUGCGAGUGUUUGGGUGCUAAACCCAUACGCGGAAUGAAAGUGAACGUAGGUGAGAACCCCUUUGGGGCGCAUCAUCGACCGAUCCUGAUGUCUUCGGAU
rnacentral:rRNA from 1 species